GCCUAACACAUGCAAGUCGAACGAAGUAGUAAUACUUAGUGGCAGACGGGUGAGUAACAUGUAGGUAUCUGCCCUUUGGCCUGGAAUAACACGAGGAAACUUGUGCUAAUACCGGAUAAGUCUUUACGGAGAAAGCUUUAUGCACCAUUGGAUGAGCCUGCACUUGAUUAGUUUGUUGGUAGGGUAAUGGCCUACCAAGACUGUGAUCAAUAGCUGAUUUGAGAGGAUGAUCAGCCACAUUGGGACUGAGACACGGCCCAAACUCCUACGGGAGGCAGCAGUGGGGAAUCUUGCACAAUGGAGGAAACUCUGAUGCAGCGAUGCCGCGUGAGUGAAGAAGGCCCUUGGGUUGUAAAGCUCUUUCGUCGGGGAAGAAAAUGACUGUACCCGAAUAAGAAGGUCCGGCUAACUUCGUGCCAGCAGCCGCGGUAAUACGAAGGGACCUAGCGUAGUUCGGAAUUACUGGGCUUAAAGAGUUCGUAGGUGGUUGAAAAAGUUGGUGGUGAAAUCCCAGAGCUUAACUCUGGAACUGCCAUCAAAACUUUUCAGCUAGAGUAUGAUAGAGGAAAGCAGAAUUUCUAGUGUAGAGGUGAAAUUCGUAGAUAUUAGAAAGAAUACCAAUUGCGAAGGCAGCUUUCUGGAUCAUUACUGACACUGAGGAACGAAAGCAUGGGUAGCGAAGAGGAUUAGAUACCCUCGUAGUCCAUGCCGUAAACGAUGUGUGUUAGACGUUGGAAAUUUAUUUUCAGUGUCGCAGCGAAAGCGAUAAACACACCGCCUGGGGAGUACGACCG
rnacentral:rRNA from 1 species